rnacentral:lncRNA from 1 species
GGGGACGGCGACGCUGUCCCUUUCAACGUUUUCGGGAUAGUUUGAAUAGUAGGGGGUGAAUAAACGACCGGUUACUUGGAGGUGACCUGGCUCCAUGAUGUCUACAUACCUGUAAUCAUGAAUAUUGUAUGGAAAGCUAGUAUUUGUUCCGAAAUUUAGUUAAUCGUAAUAAGUAUUAAAGACUAUAGCACAUGUGUAUGCGGCGGGGGAGUGUGUAGAACUUGUCUCGUGAACGUUGUAAAGGCUGAGAACGGUGAGGUUGUUUGAUAUGAUUCAGAUAAACGUGAUCGAUAAUAUGUGUUUUCGUAUGGUAACAUGGAAAAUAUAGGCUACGGAACUUAGUGGUGACCAACGACAUGGCUGGUGUAUUUUUUGAAGGAUUAAGUGG